CGGUGGCGAGGAGGCCAGAUGGGCUUGGCCGGGCUGCCCUGAGCCGGGCAGCCCCCGGGAAGUAGAUGAUCACAUGGUGACUGCACCAGACUGUGGCUCUGCUCACUGGUCCGAGGGGCUCUAAGGUCCCUGCACUGUCUCUGUCUACCCUGGUCCAACUAAUCAUCAUUCAAUAGUGAGAAGAGAAGUCAUCCCUGAAGUGGAACCCACCUAGCACAGUGCCUCCAAAAUAUGAAGAGAGGAAUGACAAGUACCUAACAGAUUACAGGAAGCCACUGAAGAACGUGAAUCAGAAUAAAGAGACACAAAUCUACA